UCCAGGCAUGUUUUCACUCUGCAGAUAUAAAAACAGUGAACAGACUCUUCUAUUGGCUCCAGUUAGACCAACAUUGAUGCUUCAUAUAUGUUUGAUUCUAUAUAUGCAAACUCAGUGAGCUUCAGCUAUAAAACAUCACAUCAGGCUGUCAGAGGAGUUCACAGCACGUCAGCUUCAACAUCAACCAUGUUCUCUGGAGCUCUGCUGCUGCUGUUGGCAGCUGGAUGUGUGAAGGGUGAAACGUUGACUCAGCCAGCCUCUGUGACUGUGCAGCCAGGUCAACGUCUUACCAUCACCUGUCAGGUCUCUUAUACUCUUAGCUACUACACAGCUUGGAUCAGACAGCCUGCAGGGAAAGGACUUGAGUGGAUCGGAAGCGGAGCUAUUGGAAACACAACAUACUACAAAGAUUCACUGAAGAACAAGUUCAGUAUCAGUUUAGACUCUUCCAGCAACACAGUGACUCUAAACGGACAGAACGUGCAGCCUGAAGACUCUGCUGUGUAUUACUGUGCCAGAGAGCCACAACAACACAAACCAUCAGUAGACCUGAACAAAAACCCCUCAGUGCCUGAACACUUGUAACAUGAAGCCACCAGAGGAGGAGCCCUCAGACCACUAAUGAUUUCAACACCAGCUCACUGUCACACUGAAGACAGAAACAGACCUAAAACC